rnacentral:rRNA from 1 species
AAAUGAAUAGACGGGGGCCCGCACAAGCGGUGGGGCAUGUGGUUUAAUUCGAUGAUACGCGAAAAACCUUACCUGGGCUUGAACUGUACAUGACAGGUGUAGAGAUACACUCUCCUUCGGGCAUGUAUAGAGGUGCUGCAUGGCUGUCGUCAGCUCGUGUCGUGAGAUGUUGGGUUAAGUCCCGCAACGAGCGCAACCCUUACUUCUUGUUGCUAUCAGGUGAUGCUGGGCACUCUAGAGGAACUGCCGGUGAUAAACCGGAGGAAGGUGGGGAUGACGUCAAGUCAGCACGGCCCUUAUGUCCAGGGCUACACACGUGCUACAAUGGCCGGUACAAAGAGCAGCAAUAUCGCGAGAUGGAGCGAAUCUCAAAAAACCGGUCUCAGUUCGGAUCGGAGUCUGCAACUCGACUCCGUGAAGUUGGAAUCGCUAGUAAUCGUAGAUCAGCACGCUACGGUGAAUACGUUCCCGGGCCUUGUACACACCGCCCGU